rnacentral:lncRNA from 1 species
GAGAAAGUAUGCCUUUUAGAAACAAGGGUGGUAUCCAGUAAUUUUGUGGCUGACAGUAGACCUGGCUUCAGACAAAAUUGAGAAAUGACUUUCUCUUAAUUUGGUCCUUUGGCCCUUCCGUUCCUUUUAUUGUAUAUUUCUAAUGGCCAUGUGUAUGUGAAUUGCUCAUAACAUUAACUUUGUAUUAUAUUACUACAGUCCUAAGUACUAUAUAUCAACUCAGUCUUUUGUAGCUCUUGUAUCAGAGUCACAUGCAUGAUUGUCAAGAAUUAGAAAAAGCUUGUUAAAAGUAGCAGUGGUAAAAAUGGUUUUAAAAGAUACAAUGGAGAUGGGUCAUAGAUGACCUUAGAUG